UGCGUAGGUGGUAUGGCAAGUCAGAAGUGAAAACCCAGGGCUUAACUCUGGGACUGCUUUUGAAACUGUCAGACUAGAGUGCAGGAGAGGUAAGCGGAAUUCCUAGUGUAGCGGUGAAAUGCGUAGAUAUUAGGAGGAACAUCAGUGGCGAAGGCGGCUUACUGGACUGAAACUGACACUGAGGCACGAAAGCGUGGUAGCAAACA
rnacentral:rRNA from 1 species